rnacentral:ncRNA from 1 species
AAAGACUUAUUCCUAACCUUACCGUUGAUUAUUGCCAAACAUAUACAUGCAAGUAUCCGCACCCCAAUGUAAAUGCCCAUAGACACCUUACCAAGGCAAAAGGAGCAGGUAUCAGGCACACUAAGGCCGUAGCCCAAAACACCUUGCUCAGCCACACCCCCACGGGUACUCAGCAGUAAUUAACAUUAAGCAAUAAGUGUAAACUUGACUUAGUUAUGGUAAACCCAAGGGCUGGUUAAUCUUGUGCCAGCCGCCGCGGCCAUACAAGAGACCCAAACCAACGGCAACACGGCGUAAAGAGUGACACGACAAUAUCCACCAAGUUAGGAUUAAAACACAACUGAGCCGUCAUAAGCACAAGAUGUGCAGAAGAACCCUAUAAAAGAAUAUCCUAACUAACAUGACCUAAUUACUGUCACGAAAGCUAAGACACAAACUGGGAUUAGAUACCCCACUAUGCCUAGCCUUAAAUCUUGACACUUCCUAGACCAAAGUGUCCGCCUGAGAACUACGAGCACAAACGCUUAAAACUCUAAGGACUUGGCGGUGCCUCAAACCCACCUAGAGGAGCCUGUUCUAUAAUCGAUAAUCCACGCUACACCCAACCGCUCUUUGCUUGCUCAGCCUACAUACCGCCGUCGCCAGUCCACCUAUCUUGAAAGAAUAACAGUGAACACAACAGCCUCAACCACGCUAAAAAGACAGGUCAAGGUAUAGCCCAUGGAGCGGAAGAAAUGGGCUACAUUUUCUAUACUAGAAAAUUUACGAAAGGGGGCAUGAAAUUCCCCCCAGAAGGCGGAUUUAGCAGUAAAGUUGGACCACAACGCCAUCUUAAAGCUGGCCCCGGGGCACGUACAUACCGCCCGUCACCCUCCUCGUAAGCUACCAACAUAAGUAACUAACACCAGUUUCCAGCCAAAGACAGGU